rnacentral:tRNA from 1 species
GGAGAAAUGGCUGAGCCCGGUUAAAGGCACUCGACUCGAAAUCGAGAGUGGUCUGAAAAGGCUGCCGUAGGUUCAAAUCCUACUUUCUCCGCCA